UCUUCCUUUUCUUCUCUAUUUUCUUUCUCCAUUCCUCUAAGGUUAGAUACACCCCUUCUCCUCAAACUCUCUCCGUUCCCUUUCUCUUCCUCUCUUUCUCUCCCUUGCUCUCGUUCUUAUUUAUUUUGCAUUUCCCGACUUGACUCUUGGCUUCUUUAUCUGGGCCUCUCAGCAGCCGGAUUUCUUGCACACUUCUGCUACUUUCCAAUCCAUCCUUAAAUCUCUCUCCAUUGCCCACCAAUUUAGAAAUGCUCUUAAAGCAAGUCAAAGUCCUCCAUAUCCACCUUGACCCUUGCGUUUAUCAGUCACUUAUAUGCUCCCACCUUGCAGGCAGGAAAACCCAUAUUGCUUUCUCGAUUUUCCAACAACUCCUCCAUUCUGCAGCUUCCAAAAUCCAAUCUGAAACCUGCAAUUCACUGGGAACCUAAAGGAUGCCCGUAAGGUGUUGGAUGAAAUGCUUCACAGAGGCAUCGCUUUGACUACAGUUGGUUUCGGUGUGUUCGAAUUUUAGUUUCAGAGAAUCAACGACCGUCGCAGCAGCCCUGGAUUAGAGAUUUAAAAUGCUGGGUUUGCCUAGAGUUCAGGAGGCAGGGAAGCUUUGAUUUUGAUGCCCAGAGUUAGAAAGCCUAAUUACACC